UUGACGUUAGCGGCGGACGGGUGAGUAACACGUGGGUAACCUACCUAUAAGACUGGAAUAACUCCGGGAAACCGGGGCUAAUGCCGGAUAACAUAUAGAACCGCAUGGUUCUAUAGUGAAAGAUGGUUUUGCUAUCACUUAUAGAUGGACCCGCGCCGUAUUAGCUAGUUGGUAAGGUAAUGGCUUACCAAGGCGACGAUACGUAGCCGACCUGAGAGGGUGAUCGGCCACACUGGAACUGAGACACGGUCCAGACUCCUACGGGAGGCGGCAGUAGGGAAUCUUCCGCAAUGGGCGAAAGCCUGACGGAGCAACGCCGCGUGAGUGAUGAAGGGUUUCGGCUCGUAAAACUCUGUUAUUAGGGAAGAACAUAUGUGUAAGUAACUGUGCACAUCUUGACGGUACCUAAUCAGAAAGCCACGGCUAACUACGUGCCAGCAGCCGCGGUAAUACGUAGGUGGCAAGCGUUAUCCGGAAUUAUUGGGCGUAAAGCGCGCGUAGGCGGUUUCUUAAGUCUGAUGUGAAAGCCCACGGCUCAACCGUGGAGGGUCAUUGGAAACUGGGAAACUUGAGUGCAGAAGAGGAAAGUGGAAUUCCAUGUGUAGCGGUGAAAUGCGCAGAGAUAUGGAGGAACACCAGUGGCGAAGGCGACUUUCUGGUCUGUAACUGACGCUGAUGUGCGAAAGCGUGGGGAUCA
rnacentral:rRNA from 1 species